rnacentral:lncRNA from 1 species
AGAUCCUGAAUUUCGGUUUAAUUUUAAUUUGUGGUUUCCCUGAACAAAAUUAUUGAUCAUCGUAAUGAUUCAAUCUUAGCUUUUUGCACGUUAACUGAAAGUUUACAAAAUUAAAAUUCUACAUUCUGAAUAUAUAAAAAUGAAACGUUGCUCUUCAGAUCAUCUUUUUCUUGGUCAAAUCAGAUAGAUUAAUAUUUUAAAAUUUUCACCUCACAAUGGGCUUCAUGGAAGGUUCCUCUUUAUCUGAUCAUUCCCUGAGUAUCUUUAUUUCUCAACAAUUUCGAAUGAGAAAGAGAAUGAAGGGCUGAAAGAUACCAACAGAAGGAAGAAGAGAAACAAAAAUGAAAUAAAUAAGAUAAAGAAGCUUGUAAGAAGAAGGAGGAGAUGAUUAAAAAAAUAGGCUAAAGAACAAGGGAGCCAUUUGCAGACUCAUCUUUGUAAACAGUCUGUGACAGCUGACCUCUUGGAAGUGGAUGUGGAGGCCCAAGGCUGGAGUUGAUUGGCAGGUCUGAUUUCGUCUUGGGAACAUCCCCCUGCAGUCGCUAUUUUUAAACAGCAGCUUGUUCCUAGUGGGACUAGUCAGAGUGACCUCAAAGAUGAUCUGACAAUCUCCUAGAUCCUUGGGAAGCAUCAUCUGGGAACCCAGAGGCUCCUUUCAGAAACUAUGAAAAAACAAGCAGAAGAUUUAAUGCUAGUGCUCAGCUUCAGCACCCACAAUACAAAGUCGAAUGGCAGUGUCUCCUGAGAUUCUCAGAUGCCAAGCAGACUUCAGGCUCAGUGUGUUCUACAGAUGAGAUCAACAUGAGCAGAAGGAAAACAAAUGGCGGAUGGAGAUCAUCUGUUGUCCGUAGGGAGCGCGUUGGCAGCAAUUCCCUUCGCUUUACUGCGGUUUUGACAGGCAUUCUGUGCUCUGACGGCGAUGCUAACGUGCUUUGGCAGUAGCUGCAAAAGCAGCUUCGGGUGAUGAAAUCUCCGUCUUUCUGUCAGGAAACUGCUUGUGAUGGCUCUUCUCACAACUGCAUUAUGUCUCAUGACAAACCUCUUUACUUCCCCAUAGACUGAGGCAU